UGGGGAAUAUUGCACAAUGGGCGCAAGCCUGAUGCAGCCAUGCCGCGUGUAUGAAGAAGGCCUUCGGGUUGUAAAGUACUUUCAGCGGGGAGGAAGGGAGUAAAGUUAAUACCUUUGCUCAUUGACGUUACUCGCAGAAGAAGCACCGGCUAACUCCGUGCCAGCAGCCGCGGUAAUACGGAGGGUGCAAGCGUUAAUCGGAAUUACUGGGCGUAAAGCGCACGCAGGCGGUUUGUUAAGUCAGAUGUGAAAUCCCCGGGCUCAACCUGGGAACUGCAUCUGAUACUGGCAAGCUUGAGUCUCUGAGAGGGGGGUAGAAUUCCAGGUGUAGCGGUGAAAUUCGUAGAGAUCUGGAGGAAUACCGGUAGCGAAGGCGGCCACCUGGUCGAAGACUGACGCUCAGGUGCGAAAGCGUGGGGAGCAAACAGG
rnacentral:rRNA from 1 species